CCCACCUGACUCCAUGCCGAACUCAGAAGUGAAACACAACAGCGCCGAUGGUAGUGUGGGGUCUCCCCAUGUGAGAGUAGGACAUCGCCAGGC
rnacentral:rRNA from 1 species